GGAAACAAAGACGCCUACAUCUUGGAUGCCCUUGAGUUCCUGAAGCUCGUCUCCCGCAGAAACUUUGCUUUCGUCGGUCAUCUGAGGAGAAUCUCAGCAGGAUCGGUGUCACCGGUUGUUUUCCAUCCCUGAAGCCCUGUCUUGUGGAGGCUUUAUCCAGAGAUUUUGAUCCAGAACGGAGAGUGAUGAGGAGAUGUAGAAUGGAAAUGUGUUCCUCCAGCUGACCUGCUCUAAUGAACAUUCACAUCAGAGACGGGAGAUGAAUCUUUGCCCACAGAGGAUGUAAAUAAUGAAAGCAACCCUCCUGCAGUAUGUUCCAGGAGCAGGUGUGUGUGUGUCUCGGACUUAAACAUGAAUGCACACAGACUCAUGGGACUCGUGUCACUGUGGGGACCUAAAUUGAGGUCCUCAUGAGUCCGUGUGUGUUUUCAGGGUCGUGGUCUGGUCAUCAUGGCAGCCGCUGGCACACACACCGAGACCGCCGCUGAUGAUAACAGAUGUUCCCUCACCAUGGCAGGACGGGCGAGAGAACGACCCUUCACCACAGGACUCCUGCAGACACGGGGAGCGAGCGCAUGUGCCUCUCACACACAAGGGUGUGUUCGUGUCUGUUUGGCUUCAUGUGAUGUCAGGACCACUGAGGACAAACCUACAUUCGUCUCCUUGAGAGUCCCGUGCCGGCUGAGUGUGAACGGGGCCUCGUUUGAGGACGCCGAGAGUGAUUUUUGCAUUACCUGUAGCUUCAUCGUCUCUCCACUUCUUCUGAACCCUGGAGGAAUUCUGCUAACUUUGUUUCUAAAAGUGGCAUUGCGAAGAAAGUUCUGUGGGUUGCCAUGACAACCGUUUCCGAGAGAGAGAGGCAGAGGCUCAGUGAGAUGCUGAAGAAAAGGUUGAACAAGAAGCGUUUUGAAUGAAGUGUUCAGAGGCCAGGAGAGACGGUUUGCGGUGACCCGAGGCAGAUUGAACACACCGACACCGUCUGGACGCGUGUAACGUCGACUCGGGAGCACCUUUAGAUCCAUGGAAGAGUUAGAGAAGGUCACCAGUUCUCGACUGUCCUGGGGUCGAUGAUACGCUGGACGGGAGGACGGUUUCUGGAACAUGUAUAGCGACGACACAAUGAGGAUAAAACGAGUCAGGUGACACUUUGAGGUCAGUGACUGAAGAUCCUCUCUCUUCGCUUUUACUCUUGGAGGACAAUGAAGUGGGUUUUUUUUUUUUCUUCAGUGCAAUUAAUGACAACAUGAACAACGUCCUAGUUUUUGCCUCCGAUUCAGUGCCAAACGAGGGAAAAUUCCCAAAGAUGGCCGCCUGAAAAGCUCCGGCUAGGUCGGUCACGCGGCUCGUCCAAUUAUAGAAUAGCUGUGACAACUCGGGGGGUGAAGAUGGAAACUCUUCCCUCCGACGCUAUAAAUCAAAGUGGUUCAUUUUCAAGGUGAGAUGUUGGGAAGUUGAAGAGUCAGGAAUUUGUGGGAACUGGAGCACAGUGCAGGAAUCACUUACUGGAAACAUAAAUGCAGCAAAUCUUUCAAUAAUCAAAGCACUCCUGCACAUGCUUUCAGAAGUGUAAAUGCAAACUUGAGUUGAACAGCUUUAAAAAUGAGGAUGCUGGACAUGCUGCUCAAGAAACAUGUCUUGUUAUUAUAAAUAUAGAAAACCAAGUAGCCCUCAAACCGU